CUAUGCACGGCUAUUGUUAUAUAAACCUCUGUGAAAUCUGCAAUAAUCUAGGGAAGUCUCUUUGAGCUACUCUUUAUGUCAGUGUGGUUCAUUCAGACUCUCUCCGAGCUCGUAUACACUCUGAAGCAAACCACAUCUGCGCAGGUACCAUAGAGAAGAGAAACACUCUACUCUUAAACACAGAAAGGCUGAAGGCUGACGGAGGAAAGAGGGGUAAUGGAAUCUGUUAUUUGCUUUAUCCCUACAACUUGUUAUUUUAUCCUGAAAUUCUUACACAAAAAAUAGCGUUUUUUUCUGCUUUCGUUUUCUCUCUAUUGGUUUAGUGCGCUUCACACAGGGCGGAGUCAGCACUGCUUCUGGACUCACUGGAUUGGACAAUUUACACCUGCAGUUCUGAUUUCAACUCUAAGAGCUGAGUGCUUCCUGAGGCUGGGGGUGAGUUCUUUGCUGCACCUUUGGCUUAACUUCAUUAAGGGUCAUCAUUAUUGCUGUGUUGUUAUUUGCAGUGAACAUUGUAGGUAUGAUUCUGAUUGGUGGGGUUCUUUUCCCUUUUGUAUAGCUGGUUCUGUUUGGAUUGUUUUCGCUGUUUCCUUGGAGUGGCGUAGUCAUUACAAACAAGCCACUUGCUAGACAUAUAUCAAAAUCAUUCUUUUUUUAUUCAUAUUUUGAUUUACAACCCCAAUUCCGAAAAGCUGAGAUGCUAAUGAAAAUCGUAAUAAGGGGAGUGACUUGUAAAUGUACUUUUACUUGUAUUAAACAAAAAAUGUAUAAAGACAAGGUAUAUGAUGUUUUAUCUAAUCAACUGCAUAGUUUUUUGAAGAUAAACAUUUAUUUUUAAAUUGAUGCAUGCAACAUGUUCCAAAAAG
ensembl:lncRNA